rnacentral:rRNA from 1 species
CACUAUCGUUAACUGAAUACAUAGGUUAACGAGGCGAACCGGGGGAACUGAAACAUCUAAGUACCCCGAGGAAAAGAAAUCAACCGAGAUUCCCCCAGUAGCGGCGAGCGAACGGGGAGCAGCCCAGAGUCUGAAUCAGCUUGUGUGUUAGUGGAACGGUCUGGAAAGUCCGACGGUACAGGGUGAUAGUCCCGUACACCAAAAUGCACAGGUUGUGAACUCGAAGAGUAGGGCGGGACACGUGGUAUCCUGUCUGAAUAUGGGGGGACCAUCCUCCAAGGCUAAAUACUCCUGACUGACCGAUAGUGAACCAGUACCGUGAGGGAAAGGCGAAAAGAACCCCGGCGAGGGGAGUGAAAAAGAACCUGAAACCGUGUACGUACAAGCAGUGGGAGCACCUUCGGGUGUGACUGCGUACCUUUUGUAUAAUGGGUCAGCGACUUAUAUUCUGUAGCAAGGUUAACCGUAUAGGGGAGCCGCAGGGAAACCGAGUCUUAACUGGGCGUUAAGUUGCAGGGUAUAGACCCGAAACCCGGUGAUCUAGCCAUGGGCAGGUUGAAGGUUGGGUAACACUAACUGGAGGACCGAACCGACUAAUGUUGAAAAAUUAGCGGAUGACUUGUGGCUGGGGGUGAAAGGCCAAUCAAACCGGGAGAUAGCUGGUUCUCCCCGAAAGCUAUUUAGGUAGCGCCUCGUGAACUCAUCUUCGGGGGUAGAGCACUGUUUCGGCUAGGGGGUCAUCCCGACUUACCAACCCGAUGCAAACUACGAAUACCGAAGAAUGUUAUCACGGGAGACACACGGCGGGUGCUAACGUCCGUCGUGAAGAGGGAAACAACCCAGACCGCCAGCUAAGGUCCCAAAGUCAUGGUUAAGUGGGAAACGAUGUGGGAAGGCACAGACAGCCAGGAUGUUGGCUUAGAAGCAGCCAUCAUUUAAAGAAAGCGUAAUAGCUCACUGGUCGAGUCGGCCUGCGCGGAAGAUGUAACGGGGCUAAACCAUGCACCGAAGCUGCGGCAGCGACACUAUGUGUUGUUGGGUAGGGGAGCGUUCUGUAAGCCUGCGAAGGUGACCUGUGAGGGUUGCUGGAGGUAUCAGAAGUGCGAAUGCUGACAUAAGUAACGAUAAAGCGGGUGAAAAGCCCGCUCGCCGGAAGACCAAGGGUUCCUGUCCAACGUUAAUCGGGGCAGGGUGAGUCGACCCCUAAGGCGAGGCCGAAAGGCGUAGUCGAUGGGAAACAGGUUAAUAUUCCUGUACUUGGUGUUACUGCGAAGGGGGGACGGAGAAGGCUAUGUUAGCCGGGCGACGGUUGUCCCGGUUUAAGCAUGUAGGCUGGUUGUCCAGGCAAAUCCGGAUAAUCAAGGCUGAGGUGUGAUGACGAGGCACUACGGUGCUGAAGUAACAAAUGCCCUGCUUCCAGGAAAAGCCUCUAAGCAUCAGGUAACAUCAAAUCGUACCCCAAACCGACACAGGUGGUCAGGUAGAGAAUACCAAGGCGCUUGAGAGAACUCGGGUGAAGGAACUAGGCAAAAUGGUGCCGUAACUUCGGGAGAAGGCACGCUGGUGUGUAGGUGAAGCCCCUGCGGGUGGAGCUGAGACCAGUCGAAGAUACCAGCUGGCUGCAACUGUUUAUUAAAAACACAGCACUGUGCAAACACGAAAGUGGACGUAUACGGUGUGACGCCUGCCCGGUGCCGGAAGGUUAAUUGAUGGGGUUAUCCGUAAGGAGAAGCUCUUGAUCGAAGCCCCGGUAAACGGCGGCCGUAACUAUAACGGUCCUAAGGUAGCGAAAUUCCUUGUCGGGUAAGUUCCGACCUGCACGAAUGGCGUAAUGAUGGCCAGGCUGUCUCCACCCGAGACUCAGUGAAAUUGAACUCGCUGUGAAGAUGCAGUGUACCCGCGGCAAGACGGAAAGACCCCGUGAACCUUUACUAUAGCUUGACACUGAACAUUGAGCCUUGAUGUGUAGGAUAGGUGGGAGGCUUUGAAGCGUGGACGCCAGUCUGCGUGGAGCCAACCUUGAAAUACCACCCUUUAAUGUUUGAUGUUCUAACGUUGGCCCCUGACCGGGGUUGCGGACAGUGUCUGGUGGGUAGUUUGACUGGGGCGGUCUCCUCCCAAAGCGUAACGGAGGAGCACGAAGGUUAGCUAAUCCUGGUCGGACAUCAGGAGGUUAGUGCAAUGGCAUAAGCUAGCUUGACUGCGAGCGUGACGGCGCGAGCAGGUGCGAAAGCAGGUCAUAGUGAUCCGGUGGUUCUGAAUGGAAGGGCCAUCGCUCAACGGAUAAAAGGUACUCCGGGGAUAACAGGCUGAUACCGCCCAAGAGUUCAUAUCGACGGCGGUGUUUGGCACCUCGAUGUCGGCUCAUCACAUCCUGGGGCUGAAGUAGGUCCCAAGGGUAUGGCUGUUCGCCAUUUAAAGUGGUACGCGAGCUGGGUUUAGAACGUCGUGAGACAGUUCGGUCCCUAUCUGCCGUGGGCGCUGGAGAAUUGAGGGGGGCUGCUCCUAGUACGAGAGGACCGGAGUGGACGCAUCACUGGUGUUCGGGUUGUCAUGCCAAUGGCACUGCCCGGUAGCUAAAUGCGGAAGAGAUAAGUGCUGAAAGCAUCUAAGCACGAAACUUGCCCCGAGAUGAGUUCUCCCUGAGACUAUAAGUC